CCUACGGGUCGCAGCAGUGGGGAAUAUUGCACAAUGGGCGCAAGCCUGAUGCAGCCAUGCCGCGUGUAUGAAGAAGGCCCUCGGGUUGUAAAGUACUUUCAGCGGGGAGGAAGGGAGUGAGGUUAAUAACCUCAUUCAUUGACGUUACCCGCAGAAGAAGCACCGGCUAACUCCGUGCCAGCAGCCGCGGUAAUACGGUGGGUGCAAGCGUUAAUCGGAAUUACUGGGCGUAAAGCGCACGCAGGCGGUCUGUCAAGUCGGAUGUGAAAUCCCCGGGCUCAACCUGGAACUGCAUUCGAAACUGGCAGGCUGGAGUCUUGUAGAGGGGGGUAGAAUUCCAGGUGUAGCGGUGAAAUGCGUAGAGAUCUGGAGGAAUACCGGUGGCGAAGGCGGCCCCCUGGACAAAGACUGACGCUCAGGUGCGAAAGCGUGGGGAGCAAACAGGAUUAGAUACCCUAGUAGUC
rnacentral:rRNA from 1 species